GCCAAAUGCCUCAAUUGGGCAUCCCUAGAUAGCAUGGAUGAGGACUUCCUAGCAUCAAAAGCCUUUGAACGUUUAUACAAGCUCCGGCGGAAUAACUGGUUGGCAAACUCUCUCUUGUCCGAACUUUCCAAGUAGUCUCUCAGUCCAAUUGAAUCAUCCAUCUGAUUUUCCUGACUAUUAUAAGUUCUAUAAGAUGAUGCGGUUCUAUCAGAAAAGUUUUUGAGACUCUUAACU
rnacentral:misc_RNA from 1 species